rnacentral:rRNA from 1 species
UGGGGGAUAUUGCACAAUGGGCGAAAGCCUGAUGCAGCGACGCCGCGUGGGGGAUGAAGGCUUUCGGGUUGUAAACCUCUUUCGCUAUCGAACAAGGCCCGCUUAGGGUGGGUUGAGGGUAGGUGGAGAAGAAGCGCCGGCUAACUACGUGCCAGCAGCCGCGGUAAUACGUAGGGCGCGAGCGUUGUCCGGAAUUAUUGGGCGUAAAGGGCUUGUAGGCGGCUUGUUGCGCCUGCUGUGAAAACGCGGGGCGUAACUUCGCGCGUGCAGUGGGUACGGGCAGGCGUGAGUGUGGUAGGGGUGACUGGAAUUCCAGGUGUAGCGGUGGAAUGCGCAGAUAUCUGGAGGAACACCGAUGGCGAAGGCAGGUCACUGGGCCAUUACUGACGCUGAGGAGCGAAAGCAUGGGUAGCGAACAGG